rnacentral:rRNA from 1 species
UACGUAGGUGGCGAGCGUUAUCCGGAUUUACUGGGUGUAAAGGGCGUGUAGGCGGGAUUACAAGUCAGAUGUGAAAACUAUGGGCUCAACCCAUAGCCUGCAUUUGAAACUGUAGUUCUUGAGUGAUGGAGAGGCAGGCGGAAUUCCACGUGUAGCGGUGAAAUGCGUAGAUAUGAGGAGGAACACCAGUGGCGAAGGCGGCCUGCUGGACAUUAACUGACGCUGAGGCGCGAAAGCGUGGGGAGCAAAC